rnacentral:rRNA from 1 species
CAUCUCUUUUUGAAAAUGAUUUAAAGUUUAAUCUGCUCAAUGAUAAUUAAAUAGCUGCGGUAAUUUAACUGUACAAAGGUAGCAUAAUAAUUUGUUUUUUUAUUGAAAACUUGAAUGAAUGAUUGGACGAGAAAUUGACUGUCUUUUUUUAAAUUUUUUAAUUUAACUUUAAAGUAAAAAGGCUUUAAUAUUUAUAAGGGACAAGAAGACCCUAUAGAGUUUUAUUAAUAAUUAUUUUAAUGGGUUUAUAUGAUUAAGUUUUAUUUUGUUUUUAUUAAUUUAGUUGGGGUUACUAGAAGAUAAAAUCAAUUCUUUUUUUUUUUAUCAUUUAUUUAUGAUUAGUAUUAUAUUUUUUAAAAAAUUUAAAUUUAAUUACCUUAGGGAUAACAGCGUAAUUUUCAAUUGAAGUUCUAAUUUAAUUGAGAGUUUGCGACCUCGAUGUUGGAUUAAAAUUUAAUUUUGACGGAAAAGUCAAUAUUUUAAGUCUGUUCGACUUUUAAAAUUUUACAUGAUCUGAGU